rnacentral:rRNA from 1 species
CAGUCGCCGCGGGAAUACGAAGGGUGCAAGCGUUAAUCGGAAUUACUGGGCGUAAAGCGUGCGUAGGCGGUUUGUUAAGUCUGCUGUGAAAUCCCCGGGCUCAACCUGGGAAUGGCAGUGGAUACUGGCAAGCUAGAGUGUGUCAGAGGAUAGUGGAAUUCCCGGUGUAGCGGUGAAAUGCGUAGAGAUCGGGAGGAACAUCAGUGGCGAAGGCGGCCAUCUGGGACAACACUGACGCUGAGGCACGAAAGCGUGGGGAGCAAACAGGAUUAGAUACCCCCGUAGUCCCUGUCUCUUAUAC